ensembl:processed_transcript Gm11981 predicted gene 11981
AUCACUGAUGGGCACAGAAUCAUGGAGAGCUGAGGCCUCGUGUUAGGAGCCUCGUGUCUGGGGGCAUGGCAAACGCCUUCCGGUCCUCACAGGAACACCUGCUGUGUCUCUGGGGUUUAAGCUUAGCUCAACCAGAAAACAGGCUGCCUUUCACCAUCCCACAGGGCCAGACUGAGGGAGAUUCUGGUUUGUCACCAGCAUUGACAUCUGGGAGAUGGACCCCUCUGGAUCUAACAAGACUCGGUUAAGAACAGUGAUGAGCCCACUAUCUUCUGACAUCAAAGUAGCGAAUUCAAGACUCAGUCUCCAUGAAGGGCUCUCGGAGAAGGCUUCUGCUCACGUGAGGACAGCGCAUCUGAGUGGAGAGAUUGGCUUGUCUUCAAAUCUUGUCUUUACUGGUCUACUGGAGAGGCGCCCACAGAGUGCCCUAGGGCUGUGAUCCUUACAGCAUGCGUUCUGGUACCCAAACUGAAUCUUUUGGAAAUACAGAAAUAGCUCUUAACUGCUGAGCCAUCUCUUCACCCCAAGCACCACUAAUGUUAGUUUUGAUAAUAUACUGUGGUAAUGUAUAAAAUAUCAUCUGUGAGGCAAAGAUGAAUGGAAUGCCCUAUGCUGAUUUUGGAACUUCUUUUAAGUAUGCCAUUAUAUUUUUUAUUUAUAACAC